GAUGAAGAACGCAGCGAAAUGCGAUAAGUAAUGUGAAUUGCAGAAUUCAGUGAAUCAUCGAAUCUUUGAACGCACAUUGCGCCCGCCAGUAUUCUGGCGGGCAUGCAUGUUCGAGCGUCAUUUCAACCAUCAAGCCCCCGGCUUGUGUUGGGGACCUGCGGCUGCCGCAGGCCCUGAAAACCAGUGGCGGGCUCGCUAGUCACUCCGAGCGUAGUAAUACAUCUCGCUCAGGGCGUGCUGCGGGUUCCGGCCGUUAAAAAGCCUUAUUUACCCAAGGUUGACCUCGGAUCAGGUAGGAAGACCCGCUGAACUUAAGCAUAUCAAUAAGCGGAGGA
rnacentral:misc_RNA from 1 species